rnacentral:lncRNA from 1 species
CCGGUAUCCGCUGCAGUACUGGGAGGAGAUGGCACACAGGUCCGGGGAGAUGGAGAGGUAGGCCCCAGGGUGGGACAGUACAGGUAGUCUGAAAGGGAAGCAAGUUCCUGGCACGAAGCUGAAGAAACACUCCAGGGAAUUCACCUGGUAGCCAAACCCGUUGGCUUCCUCCUGUUGUUCGCACAGCAGACUUAGAGCCUCAGUCCAUGGAGGGACACGCAUGCACACAUGCGUGAACGAAGUGGCUCAGAGAAGGAGGAGCAGAAAGAGGCUGGGGUCCUGUAAUUAGAGCACGUGCACUGCGGGCUGAUGGGUCUACGGGUAACAUGCUAACAGAGGAAGGCGCUAAGAGAGCCUGGCUGCCACAGGCUGCAGAAAGGCUUUAAGGAAUUCUGCUGACGGGCUGCACUAGCAUUGUCAGAAAUUAAAACACGGCUACUUCUUAAGGGACUGGAGAGAUGGCUCGGCGGUUAAGAGCACUGGCUGCUCUUCCAGAGGACCUGAGUUCAAUUCCCAGCAACCACAUGGUGGCUCACAACCAUCUAUAAUGGGAUCUGAUGCCCUC